AAGUCGUAACAAGGUUUCCGUAGGUGAACCUGCGGAAGGAUCAUUAAUAAAUGAAACCACUCUUUGCCCGAGGUUUCGGCCUUUUGGUGAAGUUUUAACCCUUUGUGAACCAAAAAACCAUUAGCUUCGGUAGCAGGCUGGUUGGCCGCUCGGUCCCUCACAGGUCUGCAGCUCGAUCACGCCGUCAGCCUACCGGCAGCACCCAACCAAAAACUGUUUGAAUAAAAUAUGUCUGACACCAAAUUUUCGAAUGAAAAUUAAAA
rnacentral:misc_RNA from 1 species